UACCAGUUGGAAACGACUGUUAAUACCGCAUAGUAUCUGUGGAUUAAAGGUGGCUUUCGGGCUGUCGCAGAUGGAUGAGCCUGCGUUGGAUUAGCUAGUUGGUGGGGUAAGGGCCUACCAAGGCUACGAUCCAUAGCUGAUUUGAGAGGAUGAUCAGCCACAUUGGGACUGAGACACGGCCCAAACUCCUACGGGAGGCAGCAGUGAGGAAUAUUGGACAAUGGGGGCAACCCUGAUCCAGCAAUGCCAUGUGUGUGAAGAAGGCCUUAGGGUUGUAAAGCACUUUAGUUGGGGAGGAAAGCUUUGAGGUUAAUAGCCUUGAGGAGGGACGUUACCCAAAGAAUAAGCACCGGCUAACUCCGUGCCAGCAGCCGCGGUAAUACGGGGGGUGCAAGCGUUAAUCGGAAUUACUGGGCGUAAAGGGUCUGUAGGUGGUUUGUUAAGUCAGAUGUGAAAGCCCAGGGCUCAACCUUGGAACUGCAUUUGAUACUGGCAAACUAGAGUACGGUAGAGGAAUGGGGAAUUUCUGGUGUAGUGGUGAAAUGCGUAGAGAUCAGAAGGAACACCAAUGGCGAAGGCAACAUUCUGGACCGAUACUGACACUGAGGGACGAAAGCGUGGGGAUCAAACAGGAUUAGAUACCCUGGUAGUCCACGCUGUAAACGAUGAUUACUAGCUGUUGGAGUCGGUGUAAAGGCUCUAGUGGCGCAGCUAACGCGAUAAGUAUUCCGCCUGGGGACUACGGCCGCAAGGCUAAAACUCAAAGGAAUUGACGGGGACCCGCACAAGCGGUGGAGCAUGUGGUUUAAUUCGAUGCAACGCGAAGAACCUUACCUGGUCUUGACAUCCUGCGAACUUUCUAGAGAUAGGUUGGUGCCUUCGGGAACGCAGUGACAGGUGCUGCACGGCUGUCGUCAGCUCGUGUUGUGAAAUGUUGGGUUAAGUCCCGCAACGAGCGCAACCCCUAUUGAUAGUUACCAUCAUUAAGUUGGGUACUCUAUUGAGACUGCCGCUGACAAGGCGGAGGAAGGUGGGGACGACGUCAAGUCAUCAUGGCCCUUACGACCAGGGCUACACACGUGCUACAAUGGGUAUUACAGAGGGCUGCGAAGGAGCGAUCUGGAGCGAAACUCAAAAAGG
rnacentral:rRNA from 1 species